UUGGGAUUCAAUUUAUUUUCCAUAUAUGUUUGAUGAAAUAACUUUACUGACUCUACUUCUGAAGUGUUCGAAAUCUCCCAGUGAACUUAUAGCCAUGUUCUUUUCUAUGUUAGCGACUUGAGCAUUAGCUCUCUGCGAAACUACCAUGGUAGUGUACUGUUGUUCUUUUAUACCGCUACAUGUGAAUUGCCGAGUCAGGAAACAAGGCAUCUUAUAGGAGAUGGAAUGAUACUUCUGUCGUUAGUUUCUUGUACAACAUUUUUGUUAUUAGCUGGACCCUGCAAUUUUAUAUGUCUGAUUUCCUUGAUGCUUUGGUUUUCUUUUCCUGUACUUGUGUACAGUACAAUCACGUCAUAUCUGGCUAUAAAAGAGAGAAAUUAGUUAGAUAAUAUAGGACCAAUUGAUUUCUGCACCGGCUUGAGGCCUUUCUCACUUGCUAAAGUAGCAUUUACAUUUGAACUCUAUUAACUCUAUAGUUUCCUUGUUUGACAGAUCAAUUCACUUUGACAUUACCAAUGUUAUUUUUGUGUGGCCAUGAAUUCUGUGGUUGCCUCCAGAUUUAAUAAACUACUCAAUGCCUAAUAGAUGUAAAAUGGUGAUGAUCAUACUGGGGAGUUUCAGUCAGCAAUAAUACAAGAAAAGUUGCUUUUGUCCUCCACGUAAUUAUUCUAUGGUAGAUUGGUAGUUUCUAUGUGUAUACAACUACAUUACUGAUCUUAUAGCAUUCUUAGGUUGAAGCAUGAUAUGUCCAAUUUGUAAUGGGCAACAUGAUACACUGAAUACUUAGGUUGAAGCAUGAUAUGGCCAAUUUGUAACCUGACUAGUCCAUUCAAGCUUAAAACGAGUCACACGGUUGCAUCUAAAGAAUCUACGUUGUUUUCAAGAUAGUUUUGUAUUUCAGGUAGAUCAUGUGUUGGUACUCACCUUCCUUUUUCAUGCUUGUUUUCCAUUUUCUAGUUGUAAUUUACCUUGCAAUGGUGAAAUGAUCUGGUUUGAAAUAUUUGCAAGUUACACAAGUCUGAAGUUAAUACUGUUGAUUUAACUAAUGAGCUGGAUUUGUCCUCUAUGCACAGGUAUCAGUGGUUUGAAGCAGAAGUAGUUUACUGGUGUACUGCAACAUCGAAUGCCGACUCUUGCGGAGUGACUAUGACCAUCUAUGGUACUCCCUCGUGUAAAAAACACUCUUAUAUUAUGGGAUGGAGGGAGUAGUUGUCAGCUUGCUUAACUUGUAGUAGAAACUAUCUAGUGCUGGUGUGUUAUUUUCAGCUAUCCUAUAUGCAGUCGUCAAAUGAACUCUGAAAUGCCUAGAUCUAUUCGGCAGUGUUGAGUAUUGAUUUUUUCAGUAGAUUGGAAUCUCUUCCAGUUUGAUAUGCAAAUAUUUUGGUUUGAGCCUCAUUCAUGUAGAGAGAGAAUUGCCUUGUUCUGAAACCGUCCUAAUGAUCGCUUGCUCACCUGUGACGGCCCGCCGGUUGGAGCACGGAGGCUCGAAAGACGGGUGUGCAGGGGCGCAUCAGCCUGCCCUUAUAUCUCGGUUUAACUUAUUUUUGCCAGAAUGACAAUGCUUCUUUCUGCAAUAUACUAGUACUAUACACCUGUGUUUGUGACUUAUAUCUCGUGCUGUUUAACCAAGUUGGUUAUUUCUAUUAAUCUCCAAUAUCUUUGACAAAAGUUAUUCCAUGAAACAACUUUUCUUUGGAAGAUAAUAAUGGGAAACCACGUCUUUACCAUAACCAGUUGCUAAAGGAACCUCUACAUCUGUAUUACGUACAAUUUACAAGACAAACUUGCAGUAGAUGUAGACUACAAAUUGCUAAAACAAACCAUCGAGGUCUUGCAUUGCACGAUCGACAAUGUCAAGGCCGGCUUCGAGGUGUGCGAGCACGCGUUUGUCGGCGAGCAGCUCCGGCGUGAACAGCUUCUUCCAGCCGGUGCACCACGCGGUGGCCUCCCCAAACGAGGGCUUCGCCGCCCCUGCCCGCAACCAGUGUUGCAGCGCGCCUUCCCAUUUGUCAAAAAACUUCUCGGCUUCCAAGAUCGACACCACGUCUUGAGCGUGCACGAGAGGCGCCCACAGCAUCACGGCCCGGAACGAGGAGUCGGUCUGCUUGGGUGGCGUGAUCCUCAUCCCCCGGACUAACCGUGUCAGCUCCGGCAGGAUGUGACGCUCGCUGAAGGUGUCCCAUUGCGCCGGGCUAAGGUACUCCUUCCAUGGCGAGACGACCUCGUAGUCGCCGCCGCCGAUCUUGCUCUCCACGGCGUCGUAGAGGCUCUCCGGCAGGUGGCCGAUGAGGGGGAUCAGCGGGCGUAGCCAGUCGUGGCAGUCCGGGUCCCAUGAUGGGAUCCACUCUCGCACGUCGACGGCCAUCCUCGGCGUGAUCACCCGCUCAAUUAUGUAGCGCGUGGCGGAGGAAGGCAGCCGGGAUUUCAGCGUCCCUGGCAUGCGCUUCCCAUGGCGCCCCUUCUUCCUGGACCCGACGACGGCCGCCAGCGCGUCCGCCGUCUCCGCGUUGCUGUCGGCCUCUUGAAGCCUCGUGUCACGUAGCAGCACGAGGAUCUUCUCGCGGCACUCCGCUUCAAGUCGGAGAGCCCGUAGAGCAUCCGCCAACUCACGACACUCUUCCACGGGGGGCGGCGGCGGCACGUCGAUGCCAUUGUCGUAGGGCUUCUCGCGGUAGCCGAGCCCGGCCUUUGGACGGCGGCGCACCCGCCCGCCGCCGGCUUGUAUGGGCACGACGAUCCCUUGCCCGUGCGCACCGAGACCCGAGCCUUCCCGGUAGUUCCACCGCCGCAUCAUGUUCGCCACCGCCCGGCUGGGGAACACGAAGCCGCCGGACAGAUCGGAUGGCCUGUUUUCGCCGGAGUCGCUCCCGUCGAGCAGCAGCGUAGGGAGGUGGAUGGUGGACUCUAGCAUCGCCAUGCACACUGCCGAGCAAGCGGAAGGAAAGCGCCUGGUGCAGCCACCGAAGAACAUGGUGCGUGCGGGUCAAUAUAUGGCCUGGACGCGCGCCUGGUGGAGCCCAGAAUCCGAGUCGGACAGGGACAGAAGGCGAACCUAAGCUAGUCCUGUUUUGUUUCGAAAGCGGUUCGAGCCGAACUCCUAAUGAAAUCCGAAGUUGCUCUACGUACGAUCAAAUUGCAUAUGAUCUUCGAACGAACUUAUCCCAACCCCGGUGAACCCAGCGGAACUACUGCGCGUACGACUCUGGUGCUGCGAUUUGGGUACGACGGCUGAUCGGACGGUGUGCUGCGUCUUGCAUGGAAUCAAACGGUUAGAUCUGCUCUGUCGUGUUAAAAUUGUACAGAGUUCAUCGUACGCAUAGCAGCGCAAGCCUCGUAUGCGUAUCGUACAUAAAUCAUCGUAUAUGUGUAGCAGCACUUCAAUCAAACCGAUUCCCUGUUCGAGGAGGCCUCUCGUCGUGGGAAAAAUAGUUUCGGAAAUGCUAACUGGAGAGCGUCAACUCGGGAGGGGGGAGGAUUUCGCAUCGAACACCCUCGCUGCCGGAUCCGGCUUGCCUGCUCCCUCACCAUGCUCUCAUCCGUGCUCCCACUUAAUCCUAUGGCUGUCUUUUUUUCUUUUUCUUUUUCUAAUCUAAUCAUCUCCCCCCUGAUUUUAAGGGGGUGGGGCCGGGCCUUAUUUUGCUCCAAUCAAAUCAAGCCACGUAGACGGGAGCACGGAUGGGCACACGACGGGGGAGCGGGCAAGUCUCGUCCCUCGCUGCUGUCACAUCAAUCUCGGAGCAUAACCAACGCCACGUAGGAUCCCUGGGGUGGUUCCAUGUGCAGCUGCUUCUGGCAAUCAGAUGUAUUUUUUUUUGAAAAAAAUCCUGAGGUGAGGUUUUUUUUGCGCACAUCACCACUGCCCUGGGAGCAUAGCUUAAAAAACCGAACCAAAAAUUGAACCGAAAAGGUUGUCGGUUCAGGUUUUUACCGGUCGGACCGCCGGUUCAUCGGUUCGAUUGUUGGUUUUUUAAGAAAUAAAAUAAUAUGUAUUGAUUAAUAUAUGUGCUAAUAUAGAGUGAAACAAUGGUCAAAUAAAAUUAUAACCAUGUAGUGAACAACAAAGUAGCACAACCAAGUUGGUUAUUGGGCCAUGGGCAGGCCCGCCUACUGCUCACAUGCCAUUGGAUCGAAUACCACUUUCCCAAUUUCUAUUAAAACCCUUUUCCUGGUUUUUCCCGGUUCAAUUACCCAUUUUUUCACCGGUCUUUCAGAAAACCGGCCGGUUUGAUCGAUUUUUUUCCGGUUUGAUUGCAUAUCGGUCUUAUUAGCUUAAAAACCCGAUGAGGCUGCCGGUUCCGGUUUUUUCCGGUUCGACCGCCGGUCUGGUCCGGUUUUUUAAACUAUGCCGGGGAGGCCCUUUUAUGAAUCUUUUGGUUUAAACUGCCACAUAUAUUUUUCAAUCCUGAAAAUUUGAUGGCAGUUUUUUUCUUUUUGCAGGAUGGCAUUUUCUAAGGGGAUGGCAUGUUUAAAUUCGAGAGAUGGCAUUUAUUAAUUUCAAUUGCAUGGAAGUUUUAAUUACUAGGUGCACGACAUUUUUUUAUUAAGAUAGUAUGGGAUUUUUAUUAUAAGAGAUGUCAUUUUUAUAAAGUGGAUGGCAUUUUUUAUUUUGAGAUAUGACAUUUUCUAUACUCUUAGUGGCAUGGCAAUUUUGUUUUUUGUAGAAUGGCGUUUUUAUAAGAGCAUGGCAUUUUUUAUUUUGAGAUUUGAAAUUUUUUAUUUUAUUAAUGGCAUGGCAGUUUUAUCACUAAGGCAUGGCAUUUUUAUAUUAACAAUAUGAUGGCAUUUUAUUAUAAGAGAUGCAUUUUUUAUAAAGAGGAUGACAUUUUCUAUAAAUAUGAUGGUAUUUUUAUUAUAAGAGCAUGCCAUUUUUUAUAAAGAGGAUGGCAUUUUCUAUAAAGAUUAUGGCAUUUUUAUUAUAAGAGAAUGGCAUUUUUUAUUACAAGAAGAUGGCAUUUUUUAUCAUGGCAUUUGUUUAUCGUGGUAUUUUUUAUAAAUCAAUCAUGCAUAAGAUGGCAUUUUUUUUCCUUUUAUCGUGCAUGUUUUCUUUUCGAUAUGUGGUAGUUUAUAUGUAUAAGAUGGCAUUUUUUCUAUGUAAUGGGCUGUCAGGCCUAGUAAAACAGGUUGCCUGUAUUGGGUUGGUGUCGGUGCUAAAACCGGCAGAUCUCGAAUAGGGGGUCCCAAGCUUGGUGAUCUGAGCUAGAUGGUAACAGGAGACAAUAGGCACACGGUAGUUACCCAGGUUCUGGCCCUGUUGAUGAGGUAAACCCUAUGUCCUGCUUCUGUUAUAUUGAUUGUGAUGGGGUACAGUGUACAGAUUGAUCUACCUCGAGAUCAUAUGAAAGGGUUUUAAGCUCUAGACCUUGUAGUUGCGUCUCUAUAGACUAAACCCUACAACUUAUAUAGGCACCAGGGUAUCUAGGGUUUACACAUGGUCGGUCACAAUCUAGGGAUAAGCAUGCCAUUUGUUCAAAUAUGCUUGAAGUGUACGUACGCCAAGUCUUCAGGAGAUCUUCAUCUUGAUUAUUCCGAGGGCCAAGGCCUGUGUGGCCCAUUCAUCAGUCUUUGGUGGGUCCUCGACCCUGCCCGUACAGGGCGCACCGACAUGGCAAUUCCCCCAAAUCUAGGACACCCAUAGCAGCCCCUGAACUAGUAUUCAAGCUAAGGACAUUGGGCACCCUCAAGUCUUCGGCUUCGUAGGCGAGUUCCAUCCUCCACGUCGGCUCCCUAUUCCAAGGAAAUGCUCUGCUCCGAGGUCUUUUUGGCCUCCUUCCCGAUCACGACCACGUGUUCAAAAAUAACUGGGAACAUUAUUUAAUAAGCCCUUCACCUUAUCAGCCUACUACAACCAACGAUGUCGAGGUAUCUUUUUAACUUAGCCGCGAAGGUUGGCCACGGGCGGUUUGACCACGUCCAACCCUAACAGCUUUUUCAGUUGAGAACCGAAGCAUUAUCUCUCGAGUCAGAGUCAAAUCGUCUUGUCAAUAGUCAUUAUUGAGAGCAUUGUGGCCCAAGAUCGUUUCCAUUGGCACGUUCUAUCAAAAAAGAGAUCGUGCUGCCGGUUUUCUAGUAGUGCCAUCAAAGCCCCAGCCUUAAUGUCUGUGAGCACAUACUACACGAAGCAUUGGGAAAUGGUGAUCCGUUCCUUGUGGCGAAGCGGACCCAGACCGUUAACUGCCCUAUAAAAGAGGGGAACUAGUAAAUUAUCAAUCCUGCCUACCUUCACAUCCCUUUGCUCCGGUGCCAAGAAUUCAUCGCGUCCAUGGCCGCGGCGAACCCCUACUUCGUCGCGGAGCAGCGUACGAUCUAUGAGGUCGUCCGCGCUCAAGCCGUCGCUCGACAGAAAGCGGCCUCCGCGGAGGCGCGGCUGCAGGCGACCGCGGGCGAGAGCAACGCAAGUUGCGCCUCCUACACGACGCUGCCGAACUAUCGGACGGGCCGGUUCGAUGACGACAGUGUCGACGCCACCAUUUUUAUCGUAGACCUCGCGUCCACCGGAGACGGACAGGUUGCGGACUCCUCCGAGGACGAGUAGGGCACGGGAGGCGGCGGGGCCUUGUGUCCAUAUGGGCCGGUCCAUGUCCGAUGUUCUACUCUUCCUCGCCGAAGAUGACACCUUCACUUCACGGGUCUUACCGCCGCAGUUCAUGGAGACGGCAGGUGGAGAAGGUGGUCGCCGAUGCAGAAUAGAAGGAACUUGGACGACGGUCGGCCGCCGCGUAGGAUAGGUUUAAGGUAGGGUUUCUUUUGUUUAUUCUAAAUGUGAUGAAAAUCCGACUUGUUUGGAUGAAUGUCGUCCGAUUUAUAUGAAAAUCCGUCGUGUUUGCACGAAUUUCACCGGAUUUAAAAUGUAUGCAGGCGGUGUUGGAUGACGGCUUUCCGCAUCCAUAUCCGUGGACGGAUGCGGAAGAAAAUUUAGCAAAAAUUUACAAAUCGCCAUUGGAGAUGCCCUUAGCCAACGAAGUAAGGUUAAAACAAUGAAUAUCUCUUUCUUUUUCUUCGGUGUAGUAGAAAAUAGACACCUUUUGUCUGAAAAGAAUGUACGUAACAUUAUACACAAGAUAUAAGCUCAUAGGCUCAUAGCUGAGGCGACCAAUGUUUUUUCUAAACCACACAUUUCACACUCCCCCCACAGCCCGUCUCCACUCUCCGAAACCCCACCCCAAUCUGUAGACGGCGAACAUGGAUCGCCGCCGUCGCCGACCCUCCUCGCCAUCGCCGGCGGCGGAGCAUCCGCUGGAAGACGACGACUGUUAGGCCAGCAUAUUCAGUUACAAGUGUCCAGCAUUCAGUUAACAGACGGCCACGAUCGAUCUAUCUAACGGCUCGCGAGGCUCGCCGAUUCACUGUACCGUUACCACUGUAACUGUAGCAUUUCGUUUUUCCGUUCCUGUAGCUGUCACCCGUUGCCGGCUGGCUAUAAAGCUAUGCGGCCCCGUCUGUAAUGGUCAUGCGAUUAUUCUGUGAACUAUCACUAUGAUACAAUCUUACCUCCCAUAGUAAUACAAACCCAAGCGGGGCUACUUUCCCCUUUGCUUCUCCGCAAGAUCCGCUGAAAUUAGUUCGAUUCCCAUCUCAGAAUUCCGCUAGGGUGUGAUAAUUGGUAUCAUGAGCGUAGGUUCUCCUCGGCGAUGCAGCAGAUCGGAGCGGCGACGGUGAUUUCCCACCCUUCCCUCCCUCUUUUGUCGACGACAACGGUAUCGGUGGCGUUGGCGGCGGUGUAGGUGGCGCAGGUGGCGGUGGACUCAUUCGUCGGCAGCGCAUCGAGCCUGACUGGUUGUUUGAGCAAAUCGCUCACUCUGUAAAAUCCCAGGUCGGCGGCGUGUGGUGCUGUUCCGGUGGCGUUUCCGUGGGCGGCGGCAGGGCGGAGUGUUCAGAUCUGGUUCCUAGGCAAGUCCUGGGGGUAAAAUUCCCUUCUGAAUCACUCAGUCACGAUGGGGAAAGGCAAGGACAGUCUCGAUGAGUCGGACGUCGCCGAACUCCUGGCUAUGAAGGGCGAAUUUCUGCAGCACCAUGACGAAACUGCAGAGCUGCGUGGAGAAGUCGAUGAUCUCCGCAAGGAUGUGCACGGCAUUGGCCUCAAGCAGGAUACCAUGGUGUCGGUGCUGGAUGGAGUCCAAAAAGUUGUUUCGUCUCUGAAUACACUGCUUGCAGCUAUGGCAGACAUGCUCAAAUCCAUGACACUCUCAGAUGCAUCUACAUCCGCACAACCAGGCCAACCAGUUUCUGAGCAACAGAUCCCAAACAAUGAGGCAAGUGCACCUGAGGACAGACCACUGACUGAAGAUUUGCGCAAACGCCUUGCACUUGAACAGGCCAAGACUCGUCAGUUGGCGGCACAAAUACCCCCUAACCUCGCACCAAUUCAGGUUCCUCGGCCCUCUGUUCCUCCAGGGUUUGGUACGGCUGCAACCAUAGACGCUCCUUCUGGUAAUGCAACUCCUACAACAGCUUACAAAACUGCUCGUACACCCACUUUCAACAAUUUUCAGGCUGCCAGGGUGCGCCAGGGUUGGGAUGAAUUUCCCAAAUAGUAUGAACAGGAGAUGAGAACACAAUUCCUUAAGAGCAUCACCAAAGGCCCUCGCAUGGAUUUCCCACGAUUUGAUAGUGAAAACCCAGCAGGAUGGAUCCGUCAGUGCAAUAAAUACUUUUAGAUGGCAGGGGCACCAGCAGAGUACAAAGUCAGCCUUGCUCAACUGUACAUAGUGGGAAAAGCUAAUGUAUGGUUACGUCGCUCAGGCAUACGGAAGAAGCAAUUAAAUUGGUCUCAAUUCUGUGAAGAAAUACUACGCAGGUUUUUGUCAGCAAGUUCAUAUGACCUGACAGAGAAAUUCGCUAGCUUGAAACAGAACACUCUCACUGUUUCCGAAUACACAGAUCAGUUUGAGGAGCUUAUGGCAGAAGUACAUGCAGAAAACCCAAUAAUGGAUGAAAGCUGGUUUAUACGAUGCUAUGUCAAUGGUCUUCGUUCCCACAUCAAGAUUCAAGUGCGUCCAUUACGGCCUGCUUCACUCACUGAAGCUUACUGGUUAGCUGUGGAUCUAGAAAGGGCAUUACCUGAGAAGAAAUCUUACAAUGCAUAUGCAGGCAAUGGCAAAAGCUCAAGCAACUAUCAGAAAACACCAACUCAUCUUCCUGAAAAACCAGCUGAAUCCAAACAAGUUGCAGUGAAUCAAAGGGCUAGAGAGCCAGGCAAGUGCUGGAGAUGUGGAGAUAUAUGGUUCCAUGGUCACAAGUGUAAACGUGCACCUGUCCUGAAUGUCCUUACAGGUGAAGAACCAACUGAACAACCCACAGAGCAGGAAGUACUGGAAGAAACUGAACUUGAGGAGCAACCACAAACUGAAGAAAAAUGUAUGACCAUUUCGGCUCAGGCAAUGCAAUCAGAUAAUGUCAACACUAUCUCAAUUUUAGUGCAGAUUGGAGGAAAGCAAGGAAUUGCACUUGUAGACUCAGGGAGCAAUUCCACAUUCAUCAGCCUUAAGUUUGCAUUAUCUACAAACUGCACUAUCCUUAAGGACACUUCCAGAGCUGUAACAGUUGCAAGUGGGGGCACAUUGUGGUCUGUGUUGGAAAUAUACCCUAGAGACAAUAAUAAAUUAGUUAUUAUUAUAUUUCCUUGUUCAUGAUAAUCGUUUAUUAUCCAUGCUAGAAUUAUAUUGAUAGGAAACUCAGAUACAUGUGUGGAUACAUAGACAACACCAUGUCCCUAGUAAGCCUCUAGUUGACUGGCUCGUUGAUCAAUAGAUGGUUACGGUUUCCUGACCAUGGACAUUGGAUGUCAUUGAUAACGGGAUCACAUCAUUAGGAGAAUGAUGUGAUGGACAAGACCCAAUCCUAAGCAUAGCAUUAGAUCGUGUAGUUCGUAUGCUAAAGCUUUUCUAAUGUCAAGUAUCAUUUCCUUAGACCAUGAGAUUGUGCAACUCCCGGAUACCGUAGGAGUGCUUUGGGUGUGCCAAACGUCACAACGUAACUGGGUGGCUAUAAAGGUACACUACGGGUAUCUCCAAAAGUGUCUGUUGGGUUGGCACGAAUCGAGACUGGGAUUUGUCACUCCGUGUGACGGAGAGGUGUCUCUGGGCCCACUCGGUAGGACAUCAUCAUAAUGUGCACAAUGUGAUCAAGGAGUUGAUCACGGGAUGAUGUGUUACGAAACGAGUAAAGAGACUUGCCGGUAACGAGAUUGAACAAGGUAUCGGGAUACCGACGAUCGAAUCUCGGGCAAGUAUCGUACCGCUAGACAAAGGGAAUUGUAUACGGGAUUGAUUAAGUCCUUGACAUCGUGGUUCAUCCGAUGAGAUCAUCAUGGAACAUGUGGGAGCCAACAUGGGUAUCCAGAUCCCGCUGUUGGUUAUUGGCCGGAGAGUCAUCUCGGUCAUGUCUGCAUGUCUCCCGAACCCGUAGGGUCUACACACUUAAGGUUCGGUGACACUAGGGUUAUAGAGAUAUUAGUAUGCGGUAACCCGAAAGUUGUUUGGAGUCCCGUAUGAGAUCCCGGACGUCACGAGGAGUUCCGGAAUGGUCCAGAGGUAAAGAAUUAUAUAUAGGAAGUGCUAUUUCGGCCAUCGGGACAAGUUUCGGGGUCACCGGUAUUGUACCGGGACCACCGGAAAGGUCCCGGGGGUCCACCGGGUGGGGCCACCUGCCCCGGGGGCCACAUGGGCUGUAGGGGGUGCGCCUUGGCCUACAUGGGCCAAGGGAACCAGCCCCUAGAGGCCCAUGCGCCAAAGGGACAAGAGGAGGGGAGAGUCCUAAAGGGGGAAGGCACCUCCGAGGUGCCUUGGGGAGGAUGGACUCCUCCCCCCCUUGGCCGCACCCUUCCUUGGAGGAAGGGGCAAGGCUGCGCCCUCCCCCUCUCCCUUGGCCCUAUAUAUAGUGGGGGGAAGGGAGGGCAACCAUACCUGAGCCCUGGCGCCUCCCUCUCCCUCCCAUGACGCAUCUCCCUCCUCCCGCAGCGCUUGGCUAAGCCCUGUUGGAAUCCCGCUACUUCCACCACCACGCCGUCGUGCUGCUGGAUCUCCGUCAACCUCUCCUCCCCCCUUGCUGGAUCAAGAAGGAGGAGACAUCGCUGCUCCGUACAUGUGUUGAACGCGGAGGUGCCGUCCGUUCGGCGCUAGGAUCAUCGGUGAUUUGGAUCACGACGAGUACGACUCCAUCAACCCCGUUCUCUUGAACGCUUCCGCGCGCGAUCUACAAGGGUAUGUAGAUCCACUCCUCCCUCGUUGAUAGAUGACUCCAUAGAUAGAUCUUGGUGACACGUAGGAAAAUUUUGAAUUUAUGCUACGUUCCCCAACAGUGGCAUCAUGAGCUAGGUCUAUGCGUAGUUUCUAUGCACGAGUAGAACACAAAGUAGUUGUGGGCGUUGAUUUUGUUCAAUAUGCUUACCGUUACUAGUCCAAUCUUGAUUCGGUGGCAUUGUGGGAUGAAGCGGCCCGGACCGACCUUACACGUACUCUUACGUGAGACUGGUUCCACCGACUGACAUGCACUAGUUGCAUAAAGGUGGCUAGCGGGUGUCUGUCUGUUGGGGAACGUUCCAGAAAACAAAAAAUUUCCUACUCGUUUCACCAAGAUCAUCUAGGAAUUCAUCUAGCAACGAGUGAUUAGAUGCAUCUACAUACCUUUGUAGAUCGCGAGCGGAAGCGUUCAAAAGAACGGUGAUGAUGUAGUCGUACUCGACGUGAUCCAAAUCACCGACGACCAGCGCAGAACGGACGGCACCUCCGCGUUCAACACACGUACGGAACAGCCACGUCUCCUCCUUCUUGAUCCAGCAAGGGAGGGAGGAGAGGUUGAGGGAGAUGGCACCAGCAGCAGCACGACGGCGUGGUGUUGAUGGAGCUGCAGUACUCCGGCAGAGCUUCGCUAAGCACUAUGGAGGUGGAGGAGGUGUUGGGGAGGGAGAAGGAGGCAACCAAAGGCCAAGGUGUUCAGGUGUGAAGUCCCUCCUCUCCCCCACUAUAUAUAGGAGGGCCAAGGGGGGGUGGCCGGCCCUAGGAGAUCCAAUCUCCUAGGGGGUGCGGCGGCCAAGGGGGGUUUCCCUCCCCCCCAAGGCACCUAGGAGGUGCCUUCCCCUCCUAGGACUCUUCCCCCUUCAAACCCUAGGCGCAUGGGCCUAUGUGGGGCUGGUGCCCUUGGCCCAUUAGGCCAAGGCGCACCCCCUACAGCCCAUGUGGCCCCCCCCGGGACAGGUGGACCCACCCGGUGGACGCCCGGGACCCUUCCGGUGGUCCCGGUACAAUACCGAUAACCCCGAAACUUGUCCCGAUGCCCGAAACAGGACUUCCCAUAUAUAAAUCUUUACCUCCGGACCAUUCCGGAACUCCUCGUGACGUCCGGGAUCUCAUCCGGGACUCCGAACAACAUUCGGGUUACUGCAUAUACAUAUCUUCAUAACCCUAGCGUCACCGAACCUUAAGUGUGUAGACCCUACGGGUUCGGGAGACAAGCAGACAUGACCGAGACGACUCUCCGGUCAAUAACCAACAGCGGGAUCUGGAUACCCAUGUUGGCUCCCACAUGCUCCACGAUGAUCUCAUCGGAUGAACCACGAUGUCGAGGAUUCUAUCAACCCCGUACGCUAUUCCCUUUGUCUAUCGAUAUGUUACUUGCCCGAGAUUCGAUCGUCGGUAUCCCAAUACCUCGUUCAAUCUCGUUACCAGCAAGUCACUUUACUCGUACUGUAAUGCAUGAUCCCGUGACCAGACACUUGGUCACUCUGAGCUCAUUAUGAUGAUGCAUUACCGAGUGGGCCCAGUGAUACCUCUCCGUCAUACGGAGUGACAAAUCCCAGUCUUGAUCCAUGUAACCCAACAGACACUUUCGGAUAUACCCGUAGUCUACCUUUAUAGUCACCCAGUUACGUUGUGACGUUUGGCAUACCCAAAGUACUCCUACGGUAUCCGGGAGUUACACGAUCUCAUGGUCUAAGGAAUAGAUACUUGACAUUAGAAAACUCUAGCAAACGAACUAUACGAUCUUGUGCUAUGUUUAGGAUUGGGUCUUGUCCAUCACAUCAUUCUCCUAAUGAUGUGAUCUCGUUAUCAAUGACAUCCAGUGUCCAUAGUCAGGAAACCAUGACUAUCUGUUGAUCAACGAGCUAGUCAACUAGAGGCUCACUAGGGACAUGUUGGUGUCUGUUAUUCACACAUGUAUUACGAUUUCCGGAUAACACAAUUAUAGCAUGAAUAAAGACAAUUAUCAUGAACAAGGAAAUAUAAUAAUAAUGCUUUUAUUAUUGCCUCUAGGGCAUAUUUCCAACAGUCUCCCACUUGCACUAGAGUCAAUAAUCUAGUUACAUUGUGAUGAAUCGAACACCCAUGGAAUUCUGGUGUUGAUCAUGUUUUGCUCUAGGGAGAGGUUUAGUCAACAGAUCUGCUAUAUUCAGGUCCGUAUGUACUUUACAAAUCUCUAUGUCUCCAUCUUGAACAUUUUCACGAAUGGAGUUGAAGCGACGCUUGAUGUGCCUUGUCUUCUUGUGAAACCUGGGCUCCUUGGCAAGUGCAAUAGCUCCAGUGUUGUCACAGAAGAGCUUGAUCGGCCCCGACGCAUUGGGUAUGACUCCUAGGUCGGUGAUGAACUCCUUCACCCAUAUUGCUUCAUGUGCUGCCUCCGAGGCUGCCAUGUACUCCGCUUCACAUGUAGAUCCCGCCACGACGCUUUGCUUGCAACUGCACCAGCUUACUGCCCCACCAUUCAAAAUAUACACGUAUCCGGUUUGUGACUUAGAGUCAUCCAGAUCUGUGUCGAAGCUGGCGUCGACGUAACCCUUUACGACGAGCUCUUCGUCACCUCCAUAAACGAGAAACAUUUCCUUAGUCCUUUUCAGGUACUUCAGGAUAUUCUUGACCGCUGUCCAGUGUUCCUUGCCGGGAUUACUUUGGUACCUUCCUACCAAACUUACGGCAAAGUUUACAUCAGGUCUGGUACACAGCAUGGCAUACAUAAUAGAACCUAUGGCUGAGGCAUAGGGGAUGACGCUCAUCUCUUCUAUAUCUACUGCCGUGGUCGGACAUUGAGCUGAGCUCAAUUUCAUACCUUGCAACACAGGCAAGAACCCCUUCUUGGAUUGAUCCAUAUUGAACUUCUUCAAUAUCUUAUCAAGGUAUGUGCUUUGUGAAAGACCUAUGAGGCGUCUCGAUCUAUCUCUAUAGAUUUUGAUGCCUAAUAUAUAAGCAGCUUCUCCAAGGUCCUUCAUUGAAAAACUUUUAUUCAAGUAGGCCUUGAUGCUGUCCAAGAGUUCUAUAUCAUUUCCCAUCAAAAGUAUGUCAUCUACAUAUAAUAUGAGAAAUGCUACAGAGCUCCCACUCACUUUCUUGUAAACGCAGGCUUCUCCAUAAGUCUGUGUAAACCCAAACGCUUUGAUCAUCUCAUCAAAGCGAAUGUUCCAACUCCGAGAUGCUUGCACCAGCCCAUAAAUCGAGCGUUGGAGCUUGCAUACUUUGUCAGCAUUCUUAGGAUCGACAAAACCUUCCGGCUGCAUCAUAUACAAUUCUUCCUUAAGGAAACCAUUAAGGAAUGCCGUUUUGACGUCCAUUUGCCAUAUUUCGUAAUCAUAGAAUGCGGCAAUUGCUAACAUGAUUCGGACGGACUUCAGCUUCGCUACCGGUGAGAAAGUCUCAUCGUAGUCAACCCCUUGAACUUGUCGAUAACCCUUAGCGACAAGCCGAGCUUUAUAGAUGGUAACAUUACCAUCUGCGUCUGUCUUCCUCUUAAAGAUCCAUUUAUUUUCUAUGGCUCGCCGCUCAACGGGCAAGUCAGUCAAAGUCCAUACUUUGUUUUCAUACAUGGAUCCUAUCUCGGAUUUCAUGGCUUCCAGCCAUUUGUCGGAAUCCGGGCCCGCCAUCGCUUCUUCAUAGUUCGAAGGUUCACCAUUGUCUAACAGCAUGAUUUCCAAGACAGGGUUGCCGUACCACUCUGGUGCGGAACGUGUCCUUGUGGACCUUCGAAUUUCAGUAGGGGCUUGAUCAGAAGUAUUUUGAUCAUUUUCAUUAACUUCCUCUCUAAUCGGUGCAGGCACCUCAGGAACAUUUUCUUGAGUUGCGCCAUUUUCCGGUUCAAGAGGUAAUACUUCAUCAAGCUCUACUUUCCUCCCACUUACUUCUUUCGAGAGAAACUCUUUCUCCAGAAAGGACCCAUUCUUGGCAACAAAGGUCUUGCCUUCGGAUCUGAGGUAGAAGGUGUACCCAAUAGUUUCUUUUGGGUAUCCUAUGAAGAUGCAUUUUUCCGACUUGGGUUCGAGCUUUUCAGGUUGAAGUUUCUUGACAUAAGCAUCGCAUCCCCAAACUUUUAGAAACGACAGCUUAGGUUUCUUUCCAAACCAUAAUUCAUACGGUGUCGUCUCAACGGAUUUCGACGGAGCCCUAUUUAAAGUGAAUGCGGCAGUCUCUAAAGCAUAGCCCCAAAAAGAAAGCGGUAAAUCGGUAAGAGACAUCAUAGAUCGCACCAUAUCUAACAGAGUGCGAUUACGACGUUCGGACACACCAUUACGCUGAGGUGUUCCAGGCGGCGUGAGUUGUGAAACUAUUCCACAUUUUCUUAAGUGUGCCCCAAACUCGUGAAUCAAGUAUUCUCCUCCACGAUCUGAUCGCAGAAACUUGAUUUUCCUGUCACGUUGAUUUUCAACCUCACUCUGAAAUUCCUUGAACUUUUCAAAGGUUUCAGACUUGUGUUUCAUUAAGUAGAUAUACCCAUACCUACUUAAAUCAUCAGUGAGGGUGAGAACAUAACGAUAGCCACCGCGAGCCUCAACACUCAUCGGACCGCACACAUCAGUAUGUAUGAUUUCCAAUAAGUCGGUUGCUCGCUCCAUUUUUCCUGAGAACGGAGUCUUGGUCAUUUUACCCAUAAGGCAUGGUUCGCACGUGUCAAAUGAUUCAUAAUCAAGAGACUCUAAAAGUCCAUCAGCAUGGAGCUUCUUCAUGCGUUUGACACCUAUGUGACCAAGGCGGCAGUGCCACAAGUAUGUGGGACUAUCAUUAUCAACCUUACUUCUUUUGGUACUCACAUUAUGAACAUGUGUAGCAUCACGUUCGAGAUUCAUAAAGAAUAAACCAUUCACCAUAGGAGCAUGACCAUAAAACAUAUCUCUCAUAAAAAUGGAACAACCAUUAUUCUCAGAUUUAAAAGAGUAGCCAUCUCGAAUUAAAUGAGAUCCCGAUACAAUGUUCAUGCUCAAAGCUGGCACUAAAUAACAAUUAUUAAGGUUUAUAACUAAUCCCGAAGGGAGAUGCAGAGGUAGCGUGCCGACAGCGAUCACAUUGACCUUGGAACCAUUCCCGACGCGCAUCGUCACCUCGUCCUUUGCUAGUUUCCGCUUAUUCCGCAGCCCCUGCUUUGAGUUACAAAUGUGAGCAACUGCACCGGUAUCAAAUACCCAGGAGCCACUACGGGCACUAGUAAGGUACACAUCAAUUACAUGUAUAUCACAUAUACCUUUCGUUUUGCCGGCCUUCUUAUCCGCUAAGUACUUAGGGCAGUUCCGCUUCCAGUGACCGCUUCCCUUGCAAUAAAAGCACUCAGUCUCGGGCUUGGGUCCAUUCUUUGGCUUCUUCCCGGCAGCUUGCUUGCCGGGCGCGGCAACCUCCUUGCCGUCCUUCUUGAAGUUCUUUUUACCCUUGCCUUUCUUGAACUUAGUGGUUUUAUUGACCAUCAACACUUGAUGUUCCUUCCUGACUUCUAUCUCUGCUGAUUUCAGCAUAGCAAAUACUUCAGGAAUGGUCUUUUCCAUCCCCUGCAUAUUGAAGUUCAUCACAAAGCUCUUGUAGCUUGGUGGAAGCGACUGGAGGAUUCUGUCAAUGACCGCAUCAUCCGGGAGAUUAACUCCCAGCUGAGUCAAGCGGUUAUCCAACCCAGACAUAGUGAGUAUGUGCUCACUGACAGAACUGUUUUCCUCCAUCUUACAGCUGAAGAAUUUGUCGGAGACUUCAUAUCUCUCGACCCGGGCAUGAGCUUGGAAAACCAUUUUCAGCUCUUCGAACAUCUCAUAUGCUCCAUGUCUCUCAAAACGCUUUUGGAGCCCCGGCUCUAGGCUGUAAAGCAUGCCGCACUGAACGAGGGAGUAGUCAUCGAAACGUGCCUGCCAAGCGUUCAUAACAUCUUGUUCUGCAGGGAGAACGGGUGCGUCACCAAGCGGUGCUUGUAGGACAUAAUCUUUCUUGGCAGCUAUGAGGAUGAUCCUCAGGUUCCGGACCCAGUCCGUAUAGUUGCUGCCAUCGUCUUUCAGCUUAGUUUUCUCUAGGAACGCGUUGAAGUUGAGGACUACGUUAGCCAUUUGAUCUACAAGACAUAUUGCAAAGAUUUUAGACUAAGUUCAUGAUAAUUAAGUUCAACUAAUCAAAUUAUUAGUGAACUCCCACUUAGAUUAGACAUCCCUCUAGUCAUCUAAGUAUUACAUGAUCCGAGUUAAACUAGACCGUGUCCGAUCAUCACGUGAGACGGACUAGUCAACAUCGGUGAACAUCUUCAUGUUGAUCGUAUCUUCUAUACGACUCAUGCUCGACCUUUCGGUCUUCUGUGUUCCGAGGACAUGUCUGUACAUGCUAGGCUCGUCAAGUCAACCUAAGUGUUUGCAUGUGUAAAUCUGUCUUACACCCGUUGUAUGUGAACGUCUGAAUAAAACACCCGAUCAUCACGUGGUGUUUUGAAACAGCGAACUGUCGCAACGGUGCACAGUUAGGGGGAACACUUCUUGAAUUUAUUGUGAGGGAUCAUCUUAUUUACUACCGUCGUUCUAAGUAAACAAGAUGCAAAACAUGAUAAACAUCACAUGCAAUCAAAUAAUAAACGUGACAUGAUAUGGCCAAUAUCACAUAGCUCCUUUGAUCUCCAUCUUGGGGCUCCAUGAUCAUCUUGUCACCGGCUUGACACCAUGAUCUCCAUCAUCAUGAUCUCCAUCAUCGUGUCUCCAUGAAGUUGCUCGCCAACUAUUACUUCUACUACUAUGGCUAACGCGUUUAGCAAUAAAGUAAAGUAAUUUACAUGGCGUUUCUCGAUGACACGCAGGUCAUUAUAAAAGAAUAAAGACAACUCCUAUGGCUCCUGCCGGUUGUCAUACUCAUCGACAUGCAAGUCGUGAAUCCUAUUACAAUAGCAUGAACAUCUCAUACAUCACAUAUAGAUCAUUCAUCAUUCAUCACAACUUUGGCCAUAUCAUAUCACAAACCACUUGCUACAAAAACAAGUUAGACGUCCUCUAAUUGUUGUUGCAAGUUUUACGUGGCUGAAUUAGGGUUCUAGCAAGAACGUUUUCUUACCUACGUUAAAGCCACAACGUGAUUUGUCAACUUCUAUUUACCCUUCAUAAGGACCCUGUUCAUCGAUUCCGCUUCAACUAAAGUAGGAGAGACAGACACCCGCCAGCCACCUUAUGCAUCUAGUGCAUGUUAGUCGGUGGAACCGGUCUCACGUAAGCGUACGUGUAAGGUUGGUCCGGGCCGCUUCAUCCCACAAUACCGCUGAAGCAAGAAAGGACUAGUAACGGCAAGAAAGUUGACAAAUCUACGCCCACAACAAAUUGUGUUCUACUCGCGCAAGAAGAACUACGCAUAGACCUAGCUCAUGAUGCCACUGUUGGGGAACGUUGCAGAAAACAAAAAUUUUCCUACUCAUUUCACCAAGAUCAUCUAGGAGUUCAUCUAGCAACGAGUGAUUAGAUGCAUCUACAUACCUUUGUAGAUCGCGAGCGGAAGCGUUCAAAAGAACGGUGAUGAUGUAGUCGUACUCGACGUGAUCCAAAUCACCGAUGACCAGCGCCGAACGGACGGCACCUCCGCGUUCAACACACGUACGGAACAGCCACGUCUCCUCCUUCUUGAUCCAGCAAGGGAGGGAGGAGAGGUUGAGGGAGAUGGCACCAGCAGCAGCACGACGGCGUGGUGUUGAUGGAGCUGCAGUACUCCGGCAGAGCUUCGCUAAGCACUAUGGAGGUGGAGGAGGUGUUGGGGAGGGAGAAGGAGGCAACCAAAGGCCAAGGCGUUCAGGUGUGAAGUCCCUCCUCUCCCCCACUAUAUAUAGGAGGGCCAAGGGGGGGUGGCCGGCCCUAGGAGAUCCAAUAUCCUAGGGGGUGCGGCGGCCAAGGGGGGUUUCCCUCCCCCCCAAGGCACCUAGGAGGUGCCUUCCCCUCCUAGGACUCUUCCCCCUUCAAACCCUAGGCGCAUGGGCCUAUGUGGGGCUGGUGCCCUUGGCCCAUUAGGCCAAGGCGCACCCCCUACAGCCCAUGUGGCCCCCCCGGGACAGGUGGACCCACCCGGUGGACCCCCGGGACCCUUCCGGUGGUCCCGGUACAAUACCGAUAACCCCGAAACUUGUCCCGAUGCCCGAAACAGGACUUCCCAUAUAUAAAUCUUUACCUCCGGACCAUUCCGGAACUCCUCGUGACAUCCGGGAUCUCAUCCGGGACUCCGAACAACAUUCGGGUUACUGCAUAUACAUAUCUUCAUAACCCUAGCGUCACCGAACCUUAAGUGUGUAGACCCUACGGGUUCGGGAGACAAGCAGACAUGACCGAGACGACUCUCCGGUCAAUAACCAACAGCGGGAUCUGGAUACCCAUGUUGGCUCCCACAUGCUCCACGAUGAUCUCAUCGGAUGAACCACGAUGUCGAGGAUUCUAUCAACCCCGUACGCUAUUCCCUUUGUCUAUCGAUAUGUUACUUGCCCGAGAUUCGAUCGUCGGUAUCCCAAUACCUCGUUCAAUCUCGUUACCGGCAAGUCACUUUACUCGUAUCGUAAUGCAUGAUCCCGUGACCAGACACUUGGUCACUCUGAGCUCAUUAUGAUGAUGCAUUACCGAGUGGGCCCAGUGAUACCUCUCCGUCAUACGGAGUGACAAAUCCCAGUCUUGAUCCAUGUAACCCAACAGACACUUUCGGAGAUACCCGUAGUCUACCUUUAUAGUCACCCAGUUACGUUGUGACGUUUGGCAUACCCAAAGUACUCCUACGGUAUCCGGGAGUUACACGAUCUCAUGGUCUAAGGAAUAGAUACUUGACAUUAGAAAACUCUAGCAAACGAACUAUACGAUCUUGUGCUAUGUUUAGGAUUGGGUCUUGUCCAUCACAUCAUUCUCCUAAUGAUGUGAUCUCGUUAUCAAUGACAUCCAGUGUCCAUAGUCAGGAAACCAUGACUAUCUGUUGAUCAACGAGCUAGUCAACUAGAGGCUCACUAGGGACAUGUUGGUGUCUGUUAUUCACACAUGUAUUACGAUUUCCGGAUAACACAAUUAUAGCAUGAAUAAAGACAAUUAUCAUGAACAAGGAAAUGUAAUAAUAAUGCUUUUAUUAUUGCCUCUAGGGCAUAUUUCCAACACUGUCUCUCCCACUUUAGUCGGAUCGGAUUCGAUGAAAAGGGUCCUUAUGAAGGGUAAAUAGCAAUUGGCAUAUCACGUUGUGGUUUUUGCGUAGGUAAGAAACGUUCUUGCUAGAAACCCAUAGCAGCCACGUAAAAUAUGCAAACAACAAUUAGAGGACGUCUAACUUGUUUUUGCAGGGUAUGCUAUGUGAUGUGAUAUGGCCAAAAGGAUGUGAUGAAUGAUAUAUGUGAUGUAUGAGAUUGAUCAUGUUCUUGUAAUAGGAAUCAUGACUUGCAUGUCGAUGAGUAUGACAACCGGCAGGAGCUAUAGGAGUUGUCUUAAUUUAUUUAUGACCUGUGUGUUAACAUAAACGUCAUGUAAUUACUUUACUUUAUUGCUAACCGUUAGUUGUAGUAGUAGAAGUAAUAGUUGACGAGACAACUUCAUGAAGACACGAUGAUAGAGAUCAUGAUGAUGGAGAUCAUGGUGUCAUGCCGGUGACGAUGAUGAUCAUGGAGCCCCGAAGAUGGAGAUCAAAAGGAGCAAUAUGAUAUUGGCCAUAUCAUGUCACUAUUUGAUUGCAUGUGAUGUUUAUCAUGUUUUUGCAUCUUGUUUACUUAGAACGACGGUAGUAAAUAAGAUGAUCCCUCAUAAUAAUUUCAAGAAAGUGUUCCCCCUAACUGUGCACCGUUGCGACAGUUCGUUGUUUCGAAGCACCACGUGAUGAUCGGGUGUGAUAGAUUCUAACGUUCACAUACAACGGGUGUAAAACAGAUUUACACACGCAAAACACUUAGGUUGACUUGACGAGCCUAGCAUGUGUACAGACAUGGCCUCGGAACACAGAAGACCGAAAGGUCGAGCAUGAGUCGUAUGGUAGAUACGAUCAACAUGAAGAUGUUCACCGAUGAUGACUAGUCCGUCUCACGUGAUGAUCGGACACGGCCUAGUUGACUCGGAUCAUGUAAUCACUUAGAUGACUAGAGGGAUGUCUAUCUAAGUGGGAGUUCAUAAGAUGAACUUAAUUAUCCUGAACAUAGUCAAAAGAUCUUCGCAAAUUAUGUCGUAGCUCGCGCUUUAGUUCUACUGUUUAGAUAUGUUCCUAGAGAAAAUUUAGUUGAAAGUUGAUAGUAGCAAUUAUGCGGACUAGGUCCGUAAACUAAGGAUUGUCCUCAUUGCUUCAUAGAAGGCUUAUGUCCUUAAUGCACCGCUCAGUGUGCUGAACCUCGAACGUUGUCUGUGGAUGUUGCGAACAUUUGACAUACACGUUUUGAUGACUACAUGAUAGUUCAGUGCGUAAUGCUAAAUGGUUUAGAAUUGAGGCACCAAAGACGUUUUUGAAACAUCGCAGAACAUAUGAGAUGUUCCAAGGACUGAAAUUGGGAUUUCAGGCUUGUGCCCACGUCAAGAGGUAUAAGACCUCCGACGAUUUUCUUAGCCUGCAAACUAAGGGAGAAAAGCUCAAUUGUUGAGCUUGUGCUCAGAUUGUCUGAGUACAAUAAUCAUUUGAAUCGAGUGGGAGUUGAUCUUCCAGAUGAGAUAGUGAUGUUUCUCCGAAGUCAUUACCACCAAGCUGCUAGAGCUUCGUGAUGAAUUAUGAUAUAUCAGGGGCAUAUAUGAUGAUCCUUGAGAUAUUCGCGAUGUUUGACACCACAAAAGUAGAAAUCAAGAAGGAGCAUCAAUUGUUGAUGGUUGGUGAAACCACUAGUUUCAAGAAGGGCAAGGGCAAGAAGGGAUACUUCAUGAAACGGCAAUUCAGCUGCUGCUCUAGUGAAGAAACCCAAGGUUGAACCCAAACCGAGACUAAGUGCUUCUGUAAUAAGGGGAACAGCCACUGGAGCAGAAUUACCCUAGAUACUUGGUAGAUUAGAAGGCUGGCAAGGUCGAUAGAAGUAUAUUGAAUAUACAUUGUGUUGAUGUGUACUUUACUAGUACUCCUAGUAGCACCAGGGUAUUAGAUAUCGGUUCGGUUGCUAAGUGUUAGUAACUCGAAAUAAAAGCUACGGAAUAAACGGAGACUAGCUAAAGGUGAGCUGACGAUAUGUGUUGGAAGUGUUUCCAAUGUUGAUAUGAUCAAGCAUCGCACGCUCCCUCUACAAUAGAGAUUGGGGUUAAACCUAAAUAAUUGUGAUUUGGUGUUUGCGUUGAGCAUAGACAUGAUUGGAUUAUGACUAUCGCAAUACGGUUAUUCAUUUAAGGAGAAUAAUAGUUACUCUGUUUAUUUGAAUAAUACCUUCAAUGGUCUUGCACCUAAAAUGAAUGGUUUAUUGAAUCUCGAUCGUAGUGAUACACAUGUUCAUGCCAAAAGAUAUAAGAUAGUAUUGAUAGUACCACCUACUUGUGGCACUGCCACGUAAGUCAUAUCGGUAUAAAACGCAUGAAGAAGCUCCAUGUUGAUGGAUCUUUGGGCUCACUCGUUUUGAAAAGUUUGAGACAUGCGAACCAUGUCUAUUGGUGUAUAUGCAUGAAGAAACUCCAUGCAAAUGGACCGUUUGGACUCACUUGAUUUUGAAUCACUUGAGACAUGCAAGUCAUACCACAUGGGCAAGAUGACUGAAAGCCUCGUUUUCAGUAAAAUGGAACUAGAAAGCAACUUGUUGGAAGUAAUACAUUUUGAUGUGUGCAAUCCAAUGAGUGCUGAGGCAUGUAGUGGAUAUCAUUAUGUUCUUACUUCACAGAUGAUUUGAGUAGAUAUUGAGUAUAUUUACUUGAUGAAUCACGAGUCUGAAUUAUUGAAAGGUUCAAGUAAUUUCAGGGUGAAGUUGAAAGAUCGUCGUGACAAGAGGAUAAAAUAUCUAUGAUAUGAUCAUAGAGAUGAAUAUCUGAAUUAUGAGUUUGGCACAGAAUUAAGACAUUGUGGAAAUUGUUUCACAACUAAUACAGCCUGGAACACCAUAGUGUGAUGGUGUGUCCGAACAUCAUAACUGCACCCUAUUGAUAUGAUGCAUACCAUGAUGUCUCUUAUCGAAUUACCACGAUAGUUUAUGGGUUAGGCAUUAAAGACAACCACAUUCACUUUAAAUAGGGCACCACGUAAUUGAGAUGACACCUUAUGAACUAUGGUUUAGAGAAACCUACGCUGUCAUUUCUUAAAAGUUUGGGGCUGCGACGCUUAUGUGAAAAGGUUUCAGGCUGAUAAGCUCGAACCCAAAGCGGAUAAAUGCAUCUUCAUAGGACACCCAAAAAAGUUGGGUAUACCUCCUGUCUCAGAUCCGAAAGCAAAAAGGGAUUGUUUCUAGAAUCAGGUCCUUUCUCGAGGAAAAGUUUCUCUUGAAAGAAUUGAGUGGGAGGAUGGUGGAGACUUGAUGAGGUUAUUGAACCGUCUCUUCAACUAGUGUGUGAUAGGGCACAGGGAGUUAUUCCUGUGGCACCUACACCAAUUGAAGUGGAAGCUUAUGAUAGUGAUCAUGAAACUUCAGAUCAAGUCACUACCAAACCUCGUGGGAUGACAAGGAUGCGUACUACUUCAGAGUGGUACAUAAUCCUGUCUUGGAAGUCAUGUUGCUAGACAACAAUGAACCUACGAGCUAUGGAGAAGCGAUGGUGGGCCUGGAUUCCAAAAUGGCUCGAGGCCAUAUAAUCCGAGAGAGGAUCCAUAUAUGGAAACAAAGUGUAGACUUUGACAGAAUAGCUCGAUGGUCGUGAGGCUAUUGAGUACAGAUGGAUUUUAAAAGGAAGACGGACAAUGAUGGUAGGUAUCACCAUUAAGAAAGCUCGACUUGUCGUUAAGAUGUUUUCCGACAAGUUCAAAGAGUUGACUACGAUGAGACUUUCUCACUCGUAGCGAUGCUAAGAGUCUGUUGGAAUUAUAUUAGCGAUUACUGCAUUAUUUAUGAAAUCUUGCAGAUAGGAUGUCAAAACAUUGUUUCCUCGACGAUUUUCUUGAGGAAAGGUUGUAUGUGAUACAACCGGAAGGUUUUGCCAAUCCUGAAAGAUGCUAAUAAGUAUGCAAAGUUCCAGCAAUCCUUCUAGGGACUGGAGUAAGCAUCUCGGAGUUGGAAUGUAUGCUUUGAUGAGAUGAUCAAAGAUUUUGGGUUUAUACAAAGUUUAUGAGAAACUUGUAUUUCCAAAGAAAUGAGUGGGAGCACUAUAGAAUUUCUGAUAAAUAUAUGUUGUUGACAUAUUGUUGAUCAGAAAUGACGUAGAAUUUCUGGAAAGCAUAUAGGGUUAUUUGGAAAGUGUUUUUCAAUGGAAAGCCUGGAUUAAGCUACUUGAACAUUGAGCAUCAAGAUCUAUAAGGAUAGAUCAAAACGCUUAAUGGUACUUUCAAAUGAGCACAUACCUUGACAUGAUCUUGAAGGUAUUCAAGAUGGAUAAGUCAAAGAAGGAGUUCUUGCCUGAGUUGUAAGGUAUGAAGUUAAGACUUAAAGCUCGACCACGGCAGAAGAAAGAGGAAGGACGAAGGUCAUCCCCUAUGCUUUAGUCAUAGGCUCUAUACGGUAUGCCAUGCUGAGUACCGCACAUGAUGUGUGCCUUGCCACAUAUCUGGCAAGAGGGUACAAAGGUAAUCUAGGAGUAGAUCACCAGAUAGCGGUCCAAAUUAUCCUUAGAGGAAUAAGGAUAUGUUUCUUGGUUAUGGAGGUGAUAAAGAGUUCGACGUAAAGAGUUACGUCGAUGCAAGCUUAACACCUAUCCGGAUAGCUCUGAGUAGAGAUGUCGGAUACGUAUAAUGGAACAACAAUUUAGAAUAGCUCCAAGUAGAACAGUUAUUUGAAAUGGCUCCAAAUAUAGCGUAGUAGCUGCAUCUACAAGAUGACAUAGAGAUUUGCGAAGUACAUACGGAUCUGAAAGAUUCAGACCCGUUGACUAUAACAUCUCUCACAAGUAUAACAUAUUCAAACCCAGAACUCAUCGAGUGUUAAUCACAUGGUAAUGUGAACUAGAUUAUUGACUCUAGUAAACUCUUUGGGUGUUAGUCACAUGGGGAUGUGACCUUGAGUGUUAGUCACAUAGCGAUGUGAACUGGAUUAUUGACUCUAGUGCAAGUGGGAGACUGUUGGAAAUAUGCCCUAGAGGCAAUAAUAAAUUAGUUAUUAUUAUAUUUCCUUGUUCAUGAUAAUCGUUUAUUAUCCAUGCUAGAAUUGUAUUGAUAGGAAACUCAGAUACAUCUGUGGAUACAUAGACAACACCAUGUCCCUAGUAAGCCUCUAGUUGACUGGCUCGUUGAUCAAUAGAUGGUUACGGUUUCCUGACCAUGGACAUUGGAUGUCAUUGAUAACGGGAUCACAUCAUUAGGAGAAUGAUGUGAUGGACAAGACCCAAUCCUAAGCAUAGCACUAGAUCGUGUAGUUCGUAUGCUAAAGCUUUUCUAAUGUCAAGUAUCAUUUCCUUAGACCAUGAGAUUGUGCAACUCCCGGAUAACGUAGGAGUGCUUUGGGUGUGCCAAACGUCACAACGUAACUGGAUGGCUAUAAAGGUACACUAUGGGUAUCUCCGAAAGUGUCUGUUGGGUUGGCACGAAUCGAGACUGGGAUUUGUCACUCCGUGUGACGGAGAGGUGUCUCUGGGCCCACUCGGUAGGACAUCAUCAUAAUGUGCACAAUGUGAUCAAGGAGUUGAUCAUGGGAUGAUGUGUUACGAAACGAGUAAAGAGACUUGCCGGUAACGAGAUUGAACAAGGUAUCGGGAUACCGACGAUCGAAUCUCGGGCAAGUAUCGUACCGCUAGACAAAGGGAAUUGUAUACGGGAUUGAUUAAGUCCUUGACAUCAUGGUUCAUCCGAUGAGAUCAUCGUGGAACAUGUGGGAGCCAACAUGGGUAUCCAGAUCCCGCUGUUGGUUAUUGGCCGGAGAGUCAUCUCGGUCAUGUCUGCAUGUCUCCCGAACCCGUAGGGUCUACACACUUAAGGUUCGGUGACACUAGGGUUAUAGAGAUAUUAGUAUGCGGUAACCCGAAAGUUGUUCGGAGUCCCGGAUGAGAUCCCGGACGUCACAAGGAGUUCCGGAAUGGUCCGGAGAUAAAGAAUUAUAUAUAGGAAGUGCUAUUUCGGCCAUCGGGACAAGUUUCGGGGUCACCGGUAUUGUACCGGGACCACCGGAAGGGUCCUGGGGGUCCACCGGGUGGGGCCACCUGCCCCGGGGGCCACAUGGGCUGUAGGGGGUGCGCCUUGGCCUACAUGGUCCAAGGGCACCAGCCCCUAGAGGCCCAUGCGCCAAAGGGACAAGAGGAGGGGAGAGUCCUAAAGGGGGAAGGCACCUCCGAGGUGCCUUGGGGAGGAUGGACUCCUCCCCCCCUUGGCCGCACCCUUCCUUGGAGGAAGGGGCAAGGCUGCGCCCUCCCCCUCUCCCUUGGCCCUAUAUAUAGUGGGAGGAAGGGAGGGCAACCAUACCUGAGCCCUGGCGCCUCCCUCUCCCUCCGAUGACACAUCUUCCUCCUCCCGCAGCGUUUGUCUAAGCCCUGUUGGAAUCCCGCUACUUCCACCACCACGCCGUCGUGCUGCUGGAUCUCCAUCAACCUCUCCUCCCCCCUUGCUGGAUCAAGAAGGAGGAGACGUCGCUGCUCCAUACGUGUGUUGAACGCGGAGGUGUCGUCCGUUCGGAGCUAGGAUCAUCGGUGAUUUGGAUCACGACGAGUACGACUCCAUCAACCCCGUUCUCUUGAACGCUUCCGCGCGCGAUCUACAAGGUUAUGUAGAUCCACUCCUCCCUCGUUGAUAGAUGACUCCAUAGAUAGAUCUUGGUGACACGUAGGAAAAUUUUGAAUUUAUGCUACGUUUCCCAACAGUCUGGUGCUUUUGUACCCACAACCACUUUUGUAGCAGGCAAUACCAAAUUUGAACAACAGUUCAGAGUGCUUGACCUCCCUGGUCAUGAUAUGGUACUUGGAAGUGAUUGGAUGGCUAACCACAAUCCUGUCUCCUUCCACUGCAACCACAGACAAAUCACUGUUAUGCAGAACAAGUUCACACCGGUUACCAUUAAAGCUUGUGACACCAUAGCAGAAGCACACCAAUUGAAGCUGCAGAAGUGGAUAAGCUCAUGGCAGCAGGAGCACCUGGUUAUGUCCUACACCUCAUAAGGGACACCACAAUGAAAAAACCUGCCAACAACACAAUUCCUCCACCUGUAGAGGAAGUGAUUCAGCAAUUUCCUGAAGUUUUCCAAGAGCCCAAAGGUCUUCCCCCCAAGAGGUCACAUGACCAUAAAAUUCCAUUGAAGGAAAAGGAAAAACCACCUAACUCUAGGCCCUACAGAGUGCCUCAUAUGCAGAGAAAUGAGUUAGAAAGGCAGAUUGAUGGCAUGCUCAGGGAUAAAAUUAUUAGAGCUAGUGAAAGCCCUUACUCCUCUCCAGCAAUACUAGUUAUGAAAAAGGAUGGCACUUGGCGAAUGUGCAUUGAUUACAGAAAGUUGAAUGCUGCUACUAUCAAGAAUAAGUUCCCUAUUCCUGUCAUUGAGGACUUACUUGAUGAACUGCAUGGAGCAACUUACUUCACCAAGUUAGACCUGAGAUCAGGCUAUCACCAGGUCAGAAUGAGUGAAGAAGAUAUACCAAAGACAACUUUUAGAACAUAGUUUGGCCACUAUGAGUUUCUGGUAAUGCCCUUUGGCCUUGCUAAUGCACCUGGGACGUUUCAAGCACUAAUGAACAGCAUCUUUGGCCCUUAUCUCAGAAAGUUUGUCUUGGUUUUCUUUGACGACAUAUUAAUCUUCGGUAAGUCACUUACUGAACACAUAGCCCACUUGCAAAUAGUGUUGCAGUUACUCAAGGAACAUCAACUCUUUGCAAAAAUGUCAAAGUGUGUGUUUGGAGUGCAACAAGUUGAGUAUUUGGGCCACAUCAUCACUGGAGAGGCUGUUUCCACUGAUCCAGCCAAGGUAGCGGCAGUUGCUGACUGGCCAUUACCUACUACUCCAACACAACUUCGAGGAUUUCUGGGUUUAUGUGGCUAUUACAGAAGAUUUGUCAAAAAAAAUUGGAACCAUUGCCAGGCCACUGCAUGAUGUUCUGAGGAAAGACAGUUUCCAAUGGACACAAACCCAAACCCAGGCAUUUCAGGAUUUAAAACAAGCAAUGGUCAGUGCUCCAGUCCUUGCCCUACCCAACUUCUCUGAACCCUUUACAUUGGAAACAGAUGCUUCUGGAGUAGGAUUAGGAGCAGUAAUGAUGCAGCAAGGUAGGCCUCUAGCUUAUUUCAGUUCCACUCUAUGCCCUACCAAUGCUGCACUGUCAAUUUAUGAAAAGGAAGCACUUGCAAUCAUUGCUGCCUUAAAGAGGUGGAGACAUUACUUCCUGGGCAAUGACCUCAUAAUCAAGACAGAUCACCAGAGCUUGCAGUAUAUGACUGACCAGAAAGUCACCACUGGAAUUCAACAUAAGUUAAUGCUUAAGUUGCUAGAGUUCAAUUUCACUCUGCAGUACAAGAAAGGGAAAGAAAAUGUUGUUGCCGAUGCUCUUUCCAGGAAGAACACCCUUAUGGCCAUGUCAUUGGUCACUCCCCAGUGGAUAUCAGCAGUAGAAGCUUCAUACACUAAUGACAGUACUUGCCAAUCACUCAUGGAAAAACUACUGUUGGCUCCUGAUCACACCUUCCAUCAGAACACUCUGCAUUCAGGGGUCAUAAGGCACAAAGGGAAGAUUUAUGUGGAUAAAGAUCAAGUACUUAGGGACAAGCUACUUACUGCACUCCAUGCUUCUGCAUUAGGGGGGCAUUCGGGCAUGAAAGCAACUUAUCAUCGCAUCAAACAGAUUUUCUAUUGGCCAGGCCUUAAACAAGAUGUGGAUCAAUUUGUAGCCGCAUGCCCUGUUUGUCAGAAAACAAAGGGGAAAAUUGCUCAUACCCAGGCUAUCUUGACCCACUGCAAAUCCCUGAUAUGGUCUGGACUCAUCUGAACAUGGAUUUCAUCGAGGGCUUGCCCAAAUCCAAUGGAAAAGAUGUCAUUAUGGUUGUGGUGGACAGACUGUCCAAGUUUGCCCACUUUAUUCCCCUUUCACACCCAUUCACAGUUCACACAGUUGCUCAGACCUUUGUGGAUAAUGUGUUGAAGUUGCACGGCCCUCCACUGGCAAUAGUGUCUGAUCGGGACCCUAUCUUCACCAGUCAAAUGUGGCAAGAUAUCUUCAAAGGAAUGGGAACAGACUUGCGCUACAGCUCAGCAUAUCAUGCUGAAUCGGACGGCCAAACGGAACGCGUCAACCAGUGCAUCGAGAACUAUCUGCGCUGCCUCACUUCUACCAAACCCAAGCAAUGGGCCAAACACUUGUCUAUGGCUGAAUAUUGGUAUAACACGUCAUAUCAUUCUUCUCUCAAGAAGACCCCAUUUGAAGCUGCUUAUGGAUUUCCUCCGCCCAACAUUUGUGAACACAUCCUACCUGAUAAUAUGGCAGAAGAUGCUCAACAAUUCUUCAACAACAGAGAUGCUCUGCUCCAACAUCUCAAGACAAACUUGUCUGCUGCUCAAGCCCGCAUGAAGAAAUACGCUGAUCGCAAGCGUACUGAAAGAGUUUUGGAAGUUGGUGACAUGGUGUACCUUAAAAUGCAGCCCUAUCGGCUCAAUGCAUUUGGGUUGCGUACACACAUCAAACUGCAAAGCAAGUACUAUGGGCCGUUUCGCAUCACAGCAAAGGUGGGGCGCGUGGCUUACAAACUGCUUCUACCUGACAGCACCAACAUUCAUCCAGUCUUCCAUGUUAGCCAGCUCAAAAAGCAUGUCGGACCGAAGGCAGUACCCUGUUCUGAUUUGCCGCUGGUACGAGAAGAUGGUAUGAUUCAGACCGAGCCAGUGUGGGUCUUGGAAACACGUCAGGUUCCACGCAACAAUUUGCCGGUGGUUCAAUGACUAGUUCAAUGGGAAAACUUGCUACCUGACGAAGCUUCUUGGGAAGACGCGGCAUUCAUGAAGAAAACAUUUCCUGCAUUCUUCAAGGCGACCAUCGACCGUUGGUUCAAUCGCUCAUCUUCUAGAGGACAAGUUCGUUUUUGGUGGGAGGCAUUGUCAGGCCAGCAUGUUCAGUUACAAGUGUCCAGCAUUCAGUUAACGGACGGCCACGAUCGAUCUAUCUAACGGCUCGCGAGGCUCGCCGAUUCACUGUACCGUUACCACUGUAACUGUAGCAUUUCCUUUUUCCGUUCCUGUAGCUGUCACCCGUUGCUGGCUGGCUAUAAAGCUAUGCGGCCCCGUCUGUAAUGGUCAUGCGAUUAUUCUGUGAACUAUCACUAUGAUACAAUCUUACCUCCCAUAGUAAUACAAAUCCUAGUGGGGCUACUUUCCCCUUUGCUUCUCCGCAAGAUCCACUGAAAUUAGUUCGAUUCCCAUCUCAGAAUUCCGCUAGGGUGUGACCAAUGUUUGAGGCGACCAAUGUUUUUUCUAAACCACACAUUUCACACUCCCCCCACAGCCCGUCUCCACUCUCCGAAACCCCACCCCAAUCCGUAGACGGCGAACAUGGAUCGCCGCCGCCGCCGACCCUCCUCGCCAUCGCCGGCGGCGGAGCAUCCGCUGGAAGACGACGACCUACUGCGGGAGAUCCUGCUCCGCCUACCCUCGCAGCCGCCCUACCUCCUGCGCGCCUCCCUCGUCGCCAAGCGCUGGCGACACAUCGCCAUCGACCCCAAGUUCCUCCGCCGCUUCCGCGUCCACCACCGGAAGCCUCCCCUCCUCGGGGACUUCUCGUAUGAGUACGGGAGACUCUCGUCCAGAUCCACCCUGGACCUGCCCUACCGCAUCCCUCCCGGCCACUUCUCCCUACAACUACAAGUCCACGGCCGCGAUCCAUGGAGGUUGGUCGACUGCCGCCACGGACGCGUGCUCCUUCUCAACAGGGAGAGGCGUCAGGUCAUUGUGUGGGACCCCGUGACUGGCGACCGCUCCCUCUUGUCGGUUCCGCCGGAGUUUGAAGACAUGCAUACCGCGGCGGUGCUCUGCGCUGCCGGCGAGCAGGGCCACGCGCAUUGUGCCUGCCACUCGAGCCCUUUUAAAGUGGUCGUGGUGGACAGCUAUGAGCACGAUAAUGAAGCCGUCGCCUUCACAAGUGUUUACUGCUCAGAGACUGGCGUAUGGAGUGAUCUCCUCUCAACACCGCUUCCAUAUAGGGGUGUUACUGUUGUUAAUGCCGGCACACUUGUUGGUAACACCCUUCAUUGGUUGCUUAAGAGGCAUAGCGGCAUACUUGAGUUUGAUUUGGAUAGACAGACGCUAGCUGUGAUCCAUAGGCCACCUGGUGCUUAUUACGGUGACAGUGUUCGGAUCAUCCAGGUAGAUGAUAGCAGUGUUGGCUUCUCUGCUUUGUCGUGCACCCGCUGCCCGUUCCCCUGCUACCACCAACCCUGUUUCCAAAUGUGGGAUAGGAAGGUCAAUUGCAAUGGUGUUGCUGUUUGGGUGUUGAGGAAAUGCAUUGAACUGCAGAAGCUACUUGGGUUGGGGUUUAAGAUUGAGAAGGAGAGGGCACGGAUAGUGCAUUAUGCUGAGGAUGUUCAUGCAUUAUUUUUAUGGGUGCACUCAUCUCUCUUCAUGGUUCAGCUUGAGUCAAUGCAGCCCAAGGAGCUUUUUAAAAGCGAUAAUAUUCACACCUAUUAUCCUUUCACAGGUUUCUAUGAUGAAGGUAACUGUUGGAAUUCAAUUUAUUUUCAAUAUAUGGUUGAUGGAAUAUACUGUAGUUCUGAAGUGUUCAAAAUCUCCCAAUUAACUUAUAGCCAUGUUCUUUUCUGUGUUAGCGAUUUGAGCAUUAGCUCUCUUCGAAACUACCAUGGUAAUGUGCUAUUGUUCUUUUAUACUGCUACAUGUGAAUUGCUGAGUCAGGAAACAAGACAUCUUAUAGGAGAUGGAAUAGUAUUUUUGUUGUUAGCUGGACGCUGCAAUUUCAUAUGCUCGAUUUUCUUUGAUGUUCUGCUUUUCUUUUCAUGUACUUGUGUAGUACAAUACUGUCAGGUCAUAUUGGACUUUUAAGGGAGAAACUAGUAAGAUAAUAUAGAUCAAGUGAUUUCUGCACCAGCUUGAGGGCUUUCUUACUUGCUAAAAUAGUAUUUAUAUUUAAACUGUAUAAUUCCUUGUUUGACAGAUCGAUACACUUUGACACUAUCAAUGUUAUUUUUUGUGUGGCCUUUAAUUUCAUGGUUGCCGCCAGAUUUAGUAAACUAAUUAGUGCAUACUAGAUAUAAAAUGGUGAUGGGUACUGGGGAGUUUCAAUCAGCAAUAAUACAAGAAAAGUU
rnacentral:lncRNA from 1 species